GUGGCGUGGCGGCAGCUACCAUGCAGUCGAGCGGUAGAGAGGUGCUUGCCCUCUUGAGAGCGGCGGACGGGUGAGUAAUGCCUAGGAAUCUGCCUGGUAGUGGGGGAUAACGCUCGGAAACGGACGCUAAUACCGCAUACGUCCUACGGGAGAAAGCAGGGGACCUUCGGGCCUUGCGCUAUCAGAUGAGCCUAGGUCGGAUUAUCUAGUUGGUGAGGUAAUGGCUCACCAAGGCGACAAUCCGUAACUGGUCUGAGAGGAUGAUCAGUCACACUGGAACUGAGACACGGUCCAGACUCCUACGGGAGGCAGCAGUGGGGAAUAUUGGACAAUGGGCGAAAGCCUGAUCCAGCCAUGCCGCGUGUGUGAAGAAAGUCUUCGGAUUGUAAAGCACUUUAAGUUGGGAGGAAGGGCAUUAACCUAAUACGUUAGUGUUUUGACGUUACCGACAGAAUAAGCACCGGCUAACUCUGUGCCAGCAGCCGCGGUAAUACAGAGGGUGCAAGCGUUAAUCGGAAUUACUGGGCGUAAAGCGCGCGUAGGUGGUUCGUUAAGUUGGAUGUGAAAGCCCCGGGCUCAACCUGGGAACUGCAUUCAAAACUGUCAAGCUAGAGUAUGGUAGAGGGUGGUGGAAUUUCCUGUGUAGCGGUGAAAUGCGUAGAUAUAGGAAGGAACACCAGUGGCGAAGGCGACCACCUGGACUGAUACUGACACUGAGGUGCGAAAGCGUGUGGAGCAAACAGGAUUAGAUACCCUGGUAGUCCACGCCGUAUACGAUGUCAACUAUCCGUUGGGAGCCUUGAGCUCUUAGUGGCGCACCUAACGCAUUAAGUUGACCGCCUGGGGAGUACGGCCGCAAGGUUAAAACUCAAAUGAAUUGACAGGGGCCCGCACAAGCGGUGGAGCAUGUGGUUUAAUUCUAAGCAACGCGAGAACCUUACACGCCUUGACAUCCAAUGAACUUUCCGAGAUGGAUUGUGCUUCUGGAGCAUUGAGACAGUGCUGCAUGCUGUCGUCAGCUCUGUCGUGAGAUGUGGUAAGUUCCGUAACGAGCGCAACCUGUCCUAGUUACCAGCACGU
rnacentral:rRNA from 1 species